rnacentral:rRNA from 1 species
GACGUAGGGCGCGAGCGUUGUCCGGAUUUAUUGGGCGUAAAGAGCUCGUAGGCGGCUUGUUGCGUCGACUGUGAAAACCUGCGGCUCAACCGUGUGGUCUGCAGUCGAUACGGGCAGGCUGGAGUUCGGUAGGGGAGACUGGAAUUCCUGGUGUAGCGGUGGAAAUGACGCAGAUAUCAGGAGGAACACCGGUGGCGAAGGCGGGUCUCUGGGCCGAUACUGACGCUGAGGAGCGAAAGCGUGGGGAGCGAACAGG